UCCUCCUCCGCGCACCCCCCCACUCCCCCCGGUCCGCUGCGGCGGGGGUCGGUACCUGCUCCCGCGGGCCCCGCCGGGGCCGUCGCACCGGUGGCGGGGGCGCGGGUGGCCCGGCGGCGGCGGCGGCGGGAGAGCGGAGCGGGGCCGCGGAAGGUGCCGUCGGAGAUUACGAUCAGAAAUCUCAGCUGUGCCACUCGACGGCCCGAACAGGACCUCCGAGGCUGUAACACAGACAAACCACAUCGCGAAUUUCUCUCUCUCUCUGUUGCCCAAAACAGCGCAGUGAUCCUGUUCCCCGAAGCGGUGAAAUUUGCCCCAUGAUUUUUUUACAGAAGGAGGAUUUCUAUUCUGUUUCCCUCAACGGAGCAUGUCACCCCAUUUAGUUCUGCGGAAAAAAGAAAUGAAAAAGGAAAAAAAAAUUAUGUCCCAACAAAAGAAAAAAAAAAAAGAAAACGCAACAAAAAAUCUGAAUAGCUUUUUCGUUUCCCUGGGCAUGCAAAGAAAAGGAUAUCCGGCUCCAAAUCUUUAACAGUUUUACUCGCUGGACAGAUACGGAAGGAUUUUCCCCGUAACUAUUCUAUGCACCUGAAUAUGGUUAUUAUUAAAGUUGCUGCGGCUGGAUGCCUCGAUGUUCGUA